rnacentral:rRNA from 1 species
UGGGGAAUUUUGGACAAUGGGGGAAACCCUGAUCCAGCCAUGCCGCGUGAGUGAAGAAGGCCUUCGGGUUGUAAAGCUCUUUCGGCUGGGAAGAAAUCGCACAGGCUAAUACUCUGUGUGGAUGACGGUACCAGCACAAGAAGCACCGGCUAACUACGUGCCAGCAGCCGCGGUAAUACGUAGGGUGCGAGCGUUAAUCGGAAUUACUGGGCGUAAAGCGUGCGCAGGCGGUUGUGCAAGACAGAUGUGAAAUCCCCGGGCUCAACCUGGGAACUGCAUUUGUGACUGCACGACUAGAGUACGGCAGAGGGGGGUAGAAUUCCACGUGUAGCAGUGAAAUGCGUAGAGAUGUGGAGGAAUACCGAUGGCGAAGGCAGCCCCCUGGGCCGAUACUGACGCUCAUGCACGAAAGCGUGGGGAGCAAACAGG